GAAAUAAAAUAAGGCUCGGUACCUUGUCGAUUUGUGGUCGAAGCAGUUAACGAAAGAGAGAGAAGUGAUAAGGCCGACGACGGAUGCAGAAUUGGAGAGUGGAGAGAGCCGUCAGCCGUGUGAGGGUUGUGGUGGAGAAGACCGGAGAUGGUCGGCGANGCUGCUUGUGAUAUCAAUCUGACUGAACUAUCCUCUGAUAGUAAGAAAGAGAGAUAUCAUCUCUAUCGUUGCAAACACGACUGAAGCCCUUACGUGGAUCAGUUAAGUUCUAGUGACUUAACUGAUAACUCUUUACUGAAGAGCUUUCAGUAUCAGUCGUCAACCCUGUUGGUCAAAACUAAUUUCGGUUAAACAGGUGUCUGGUUUGCAUGCAUAGUUUCUUUUCUAUCUCUGACUGAGAUCCCUCUGAUUGAGGUCGGUAGAUAGUCAAAAAUAGCCUAUAGGUGUAUUCCCCCCCCCAUACACCUAUUCGAGACCCCCCGGACCUAACAAAGAUCUUACUUGCAGGCAUUUUUUUGCUAAUUUUUCAUGUGAUUGUUAAGUGAAGCAGUACCAUUCUUACUCGAAUCACUACAAAAAACCCUAGUACAAUGUAUGCACCUAGCUUUCGUACUAUUAUCAUCUGGAUCAACAAAAGGUUGAAAAUGUUCCCAACAUUCUGACCUUUUUGCCAUAGCUCUUCGUUUCUUAGUUUUACCGGCCGGAAGGGGAUUUUCAACUGGAGGUGCAGCUUGAGUAGUAUCAUCUCCUGAUUUUUCAUUUGCUUGAGACAUCUGCAAAAAUUAAACAUAUCCUAAAUUGCAUCAUCGACAAUUAAACAAUUAAAGAUUUACACAUAACAAUCUAAGAACUUACACUGCAACUAGCUGUUGAAGAAUCUAUGAUGAAAGAGAAGAAGAGAUAGUGCGGGGCCUGUGGGCUGUUGUCGAACCAAUUAAUGAGAGAGAAAUAAAAUAAGGCUCGGUACCUUGUCGAUUUGUGGUCGAAGCAGUUAACGAAAGAGAGAGAAGUGAUAAGGCCGACGACGGAUGCAGAAUUGGAGAGUGGAGAGAGCCGUCAGCCGUGUGAGGGUUGUGGUGGAGAAGACCGGAGAUGGUCGGCGACUUGGCGGCGCCGCGGCGGCUGAGACUAGGGCUGAAAUUGAAUUGGAGGAAUGGAGAUUGGAGAAGCAGAAAGGUUGGCUGC
rnacentral:lncRNA from 1 species